rnacentral:rRNA from 1 species
GGGGAAUAUUGGGCAAUGGAGGAAACUCUGACCCAGCAACGCCGCGUGGAGGAAGAAGGUUUUCGGAUCGUAAACUCCUGUCCUUGGAGACGAGUAGAAGACGGUAUCCAAGGAGGAAGCCCCGGCUAACUACGUGCCAGCAGCCGCGGUAAUACGUAGGGGGCAAGCGUUAUCCGGAUUUACUGGGUGUAAAGGGAGCGUAGACGGCUGUGUAAGUCUGAAGUGAAAGCCCGGGGCUCAACCCCGGGACUGCUUUGGAAACUAUGCAGCUAGAGUGUCGGAGAGGUAAGUGGAAUUCCCAGUGUAGCGGUGAAAUGCGUAGAUAUUGGGAGGAACACCAGUGGCGAAGGCGGCUUACUGGACGACAACUGACGGUGAGGCGCGAAAGCGUGGGGAGCGAACAGGAUUAGAUACCCUGGUAGUCCACGCUGUAAACGAUGGAUACUAGGUGUGCGGGGACUGACCCCCUGCGUGCCGCAGUUAACACAAUAAGUAUCCCACCUGGGGAGUACGAUCGCAAGGUUGAAACUCAAAGGAAUUGACGGGGGCCCGCACAAGCGGUGGAUUAUGUGGUUUAAUUCGAAGCAACGCGAAGAACCUUACCAGGGCUUGACAUCCUACUAACGAAGUAGAGAUACAUUAGGUGCCCUUCGGGGAAAGUAGAGACAGGUGGUGCAUGGUUGUCGUCAGCUCGUGUCGUGAGAUGUUGGGUUAAGUCCCGCAACGAGCGCAACCCCUAUCCUCAGUAGCCAGCAUUUAAGGUGGGCACUCUGGGGAGACUGCCAGGGAUAACCUGGAGGAAGGCGGGGAGGACGUCAAAUCAUCAUGCCCCUUAUGAUUUGGGCUACACACGUGCUACAAUGGCGUAAACAAAGGGAAGCGAGAUUGUGAGAGGGAGCAAAUCCCAAAAAUAACGUCCCAGUUCGGACUGUAGUCUGCAACCCGACUACACGAAGCUGGAAUCGCUAGUAAUCGCGGAUCAGAAUGCCGCGGUGAAUACGUUCCCG